GGGACCACUCCAUUCGCCUGGUGUCUUCACCCCGUGUAGUCACGAACACCAGAGGAUCCCUACAGUUGAGAAGAAGCGUCUGGACAUUAUUCUUCUUCUCCAUUAAAGUAAGGACAACAGGGAAUUUUUAAGAUUACUGAAGCCACGCAUCCAGGAGAAUCCUACUUUGUAAUUAGGUCCUUCCGAGGUGCUCAUCGAACAUAAUGAGGUUCCUUCAAGUAAACCUCAUGACUCUGCUUUCCCUGGUCCUACUAGGAGAAGUUGCUGGGGGUGUAUCAAAACGGGAUUCGAUACUCUGGGAAGAAGUUUUUGGUAAGGCACAUUACAGAAAGUGGAAAUAUUAUUGCAUACACCUGAUACACACAGUCACACUGCAAAAU